rnacentral:sRNA from 1 species
AAAUAAAAAAUUAAAUUUUCUGCUAAAACCGUAAAAUUCGUUUUUCAGCCAAACCCGUACAAUUACGUUUUCCCGCCAAAACCGCAAAAUCAUUUUUUCUCCGCAAAAAUCGUAAAAUUCUAUUUUCCCGCCAAAACCGCAAAAUCACGGUUUCCCGGCAAACCCGUAAAACCGUGAUUUCCUGCCAAAACAAAAAAAUCACGUUUUUCCGCCAAAACCGUAAAAUCGUGUUUUCCGCCAAAACCGCAAAAAUCACGUUUUCCCGCCAAAACCGUAAAAUCACGUUUUCCCGCCAAAACCGUAAAAUCACGUUUUCCCGCCAAAACCAUAAAAUCAUGUUUUCCCGCCAAAACCGCAAAAAUCACGUUUUCCCGCCAAAAACGUAAAAUUUUGUUUUCCGCCAAAACUGUAAAAUCGAGUUUUCCCGUCAAAUCAUAAAAUCACGUUUCCCGCCAAAACCGUAAAAUAAAUUUAUAAAUGUAAAAAACUAUUAUUUGAAAUUUAUUUACUUUUAAAUAUAUUUUAGAUUAAGAAUUAGAUGAAAGCAUGGAUAUUUUAGGUAUUUGUAUUAUUGCAAAUCAUUUGGAUGGAGAUAGAGAUAAGUAAACGAACAACAUCUCAUUCGGAUGGUCCAGUCAAAUGAACCGACUAAAAAUAAAACGAACAAGAGUCGAAUGAAUCAUCUAGAUGGACAUGUUGAAUGGAUCAGUUGGAUGGAUCUCUCAAAUGGAGAAACGAACCGGACCUAAAAAGGUUGAAACUCUAUGGUAUACAUAGUUUUAAAAUAACCUAGUUGAACAUAAUGGAAAUUGUCUAGCAAAUGGGACAAAGUGGUGAUCCUCCUUCCUUGGUAUGGGAUAUCUACUCCUACUACACAACUUGAUUGUUCUAUUAAUUAAUAAGACACAUAUAUAUAUAUAUAUA